UAUCAGGAUUUUUUCAAAUCCCCCAACGGCUUCAAAUACUUCAUUU
rfam:Oesophagostomum dentatum strain OD-Hann O_dentatum-1.0_Cont16028.2, whole genome shotgun sequence.